rnacentral:tRNA from 1 species
GCUGUCAUAGCUCAGUUGGUAGAGCACCACCUUGACAUGGUGGGGGUCACAGGUUCGAGUCCUGUUGAUAGCACCA